UCAAAGUGGCACGGUUGUCAUCGUAGAGUGAUCCCCAUGCUGUUCCAUGGGAGUUAAAAUCACCUAAGAUUACCCGCGGCUCCGGCAUUGCCUCGAUAGUAUCAAAGAACUGAUGGCGGCCUACCGUAGUUCUGGGAGGGAUAUAUAUCGAAGCAAUGCAGAGGUCUUUGCCAUUGAUUUGUGUCUGGCAAGCAACAACUUCAAUGCCUGUCAUCGAUGGGAGAGUGACUCUAUAGAAGGAGUGACAUUUUUUAAUCCCCAAUAGUACGCCACCAAACGAGUCAUUUCGAUCGAGGCGAAUUAUGUUGAAAUCGUGGAAAUUCAGCUCAUCGGCUGAAGAAAGCCAUGUUUCACAGAGAGAAAAUACAUCACAGUUAGAGCUGUGAACUAAAAAUUUAAACUGAUCUAGUUUAGGAAUGAUGCUUCUGCAAUUCCACUGUAUUACAGUGGUCAAAUCCUUGACCUCUUGCACUGAAUCAGACAUCGAGGGAAAUGAACGCUGCCAAAAAACCACAUUUUUCUUUCAAAAAUGUUCUCACAAUCGGAAGCAAACAUAAAACUAUGCUUUUAAGAGGGUCGUUUAUAUUUAAAGCAUUUAAAAUGUUGUCCACCAGGUCAGAAAGCGCAAGCAAGCCAGAUUGUGGCUGUUGCCUCGACCGCGAAAAAGGAGCGUAGAAGAACCGCUUAAACCAGGAGGUACUUGCUUCGGUCUAUUCUCAGCACGUUCGAUUCGAGUUUUCAUUCCAACUUGGGAAGUUUCGGUUUUCUUUCUGGGGAGUGAAGGAAAAGGAGUAAUUUUUUUUUCCUGAUGGCACCCUGCGAUGUACCGGAACUUCCUGCAUUGGGAGCGUCAGCAACACGCUCGUCGUUCUGCAGAAUGGAGUAGGGAUUGUCCUGAGUCGUUGGAACGGGACUCUUAAGCAUUUCUGCAUAAGUCCGCUUGGAACGUUCUUUUAAGGAACGCUUGAUUUUUUCCCCUCGUUGUAUGUACACCGGGCAUUGAGUAAGAUCAUGAGGAGUCCCGCCGCAAUGAAGACACUUGCGCUCUUUCGGGCAAGGAUUCUCAUCAUGGCUCUCUCCACAAUCUGCGCAACGUUUUUUGUUGCAAUAAUAGGCGGCCGUGUGACCGAGUUGCAUACAUUUGUUGCAUUUCAUUACCCGGGGUACAAACAACCGAACAGGUAAACGAAGUGCACCUAUUGCAACGUAGUUAGGAAGGGCGGAACCCUCAAAUGUCACACGAAAAGAGUUUGUCCGAUUGAGGACUCGUUUGUCAUUUUUAAGUGACACAGAUUUCAGUCGAUCGCAUGCAAGAAUCUUCACACUUUUAAGUGAAGAGUUCUUGAAGCGACCGACACCAUCGAGUAUCUCUUUUCGAGUCAAACCCUUUUCGUUUAUUACACCGUCUAUUUCAACGUUGCAACAGGGUACGUAUACGCGAUACUCGAUCGCAAAGAGAUCACAGCGCGUUAUUUCAUUCGCUUGGGUUCUGCUGGAGACGACAACUCGUAAUUUGUCUGGCCCCAUCCGAGUAAUCUCGGUAACUUCGGAAAAUUUCUGUGUCAACUCUUUUGAGAUGCGAAUGACGUUAAGAGGUUUGGAUUUUCGUCUAAAGUAUACGAUAAAUGGGCCUUUGGCGCCAUCAGGGUAUUCUUUUAGACGAAAAUCCUGCUUCUCGUCUUUUUCCUCAUCUUCAGAGCUUUCUAUUUCGUAUACAGAAUUUUCCUCCUCAUCUUCUGUUUCAUCCUCCUGCUCUUCAGGAGGAGGUUCAUUAUCUGAUAUAUUCUUUGGCGUGGAUGGGGGAUCCUCCCCGCCCUCUGCCAUAUUAAUAAAAACGAAGAAGUAGACAACUGUUCGAUAUGAACAGAAUAUAAUAAUUUGGAAAAUAUAAAUUAGUAAAAGAAAUUAUAUUACUAUAUUAGUUAUUGUUGAAAAUUUUAUUUAUUUCAAUUUUUGUUAUUAUGUGUAAUUUGAAAAUGAAAAAAGUUCCAAUAAUAGUUCAACGGUGAUGUAUCAAAAUGGACACCCCUAAUGCCAACGCUUGCCGAUUUGGUAAACACAAAGUUUAAACAAUGGUGUAAAUCGUGCACAGAAGCUAUUCAGAAUGAUGGAAGAAGAAAGAGGAAAAUAAACUUCUACUUGCCGCCGCUGUGUAGCGUGUGUGAUGAUGUGUCUUGCUGCCGGAUUGUCUCGAUAGCGCACCACUUUUUAUGAGCUUUACUUCGCUCGCAGCGCACCAGAUGAAAAAAUACACACUAGAAACGGAUGUAAAAAAAACACCUGUAUCGGAUCAAAUAUAGGUUCGACCGAUCUGCUUGCGAGUUGUCGAAGCAAUUGACUUGAUCAUUUGAAUAAUAUUUCGGUUCAUGAGCUGUAACAAGGCAAUGAUUUUUUUUUUCGAAUUUCAAAACAUUACUGCUCCCUUAUGGGGCGCUAGUCAAUUUGUGGCUAAGAUACUGCAUUAUACAGAUAAGUCAGUGCAAAUCAUAGUUAUUUUACGUUUACCGGGAGAUUUCCUUUUAAUGUUUUUAUGUUUCGAUCAUCCGGAAAAUUUGAUCAUCCGGAGUGAAAAUUAAAUCAACAUUCCGUUUCAUCUCUAGUCGAGAGUGAGCAGUCUGAGAAACUGAUCAUCCAUUGCAGACCAUUGGACAAAACGAUUUCUUCGAAGAUUUGGUGUUUUUGCGAAAGCCAUCAAAGUCCAGCGUGGAUACAAGCAGGUUACAAAACUAGAGGGACGAAAUCUAGCUUCAUGAGGAUGCAUCGUAUGCCUUUUCGAAAUUUACAACAAAUCAGUCUAGCCAGCAAGUAAUCAACUACCCAUCCCCUCUUAGAUGGUGCCUACACACGCUACUAAUGAUAAAUCAUGGAUUUUGAUACAAGUUUAUUUUAAUAAGUGCGAUCGUUUGCCCCAUAGGAUGCGAAUUUGUGCCGAAAAGUCCGCAUUUGACAAUUUGUAUUAUAAUAAAUAUUGGACAAGCAAAACUCGAAGUAUUUAUAAAUUGCGUUUCGAAGGUUUUGGCUUUCCUUUUAAAAGUCAUUAGACGACAACUGUUAGGUGCGCACCUGCGAGCAUUAGCACAUCGAAAAGUUAUAUUUUCAUCGCAUCGCAUUUUUGCCUUGCGAUUCAAUUCUUUUCUGAGAGCGACACCACUCUAUCACAAAGCGAUUCGAUCCAAAGCUCCGAGGCUAAGCACCCAAUCGGAUCAGGAAACGAAAGUAGAGCGACAGCAGAAACUAACGAACGAAUCAUAAAAUGAUACAAGCGAGCAUCGAUGAACACGCGCACAGAUACCAAACGAUGACUCUCACGCUGUGUUCAUUCAGUAUUUUCGUUGACACGUCAGUUUUCUGUUUCAUGAGUGAUUUAAAACAUAUUAUUGUGUGCGUUGAAUGAAUCAAAUAAGAGAAUGUAACGAGCGCUCGUUGAUACGAUUGGAACCAUCCUUGCUGGGAGGAAUAUAUAUCGAAGCAAUGCAGAGUUCUUUGCCAUUGAUUUGUAUCUGGCAAGCGACAACUUCAAUGCCUGUAAUCGAUGGGAUAGUGACUCUAUAGAAGGAGUGACGUUUUUUGAUCCCCAAUAGUACGCCACCAAACGAGUCGUUACGAUCUAGGCGAAUAAUGUUGAAAUCGUGAAAAUUCAGCUCGUCGGCUGAACAACGCCAUGUUUCACAGAGAGAAAAUACAUCACAGUUAGAACUGUGAACUAAAAAUUUAAAUUGGUCUAGUUUAGGGAUGAUGCUUCUGCAAUUCCACUGUAUGACAGUGGUCAAAUCCUUGACCUCUUGCGCUGAAUUAGGCAUCGAGGGAAAUGAACGCUGCUAAAAAGCCACAUUUUUCUUUCAAAAAUGUUCUCACAACCGGAAGCAAACAUAAUACUAUGCUUUUAAGAGGAUCAUUUAUAUUUAAAGCAUUUAAAAUGUUAUCCACAAGGUCUGAAAGCGCAAGCAGGCCAGGUAGUGGCUGUUGCUUCGACCGCGAAAAUGGAACAGACGUGUUCGUUGUUGUUCCGGGAAGUGCUGAGGACCCCUGGUUGGUAGCAUGACCACGUAAACCGGGAGGUACUUGCUUCGGCCUAUUCUCAGCACGUUCAGUUCGAGGCUUCAUUCCAACUUGGGAAGUUUCGGUAUUCUUUCUGGGGAGUGAUGGAAAAGAAGUAAUUUUUCUUUUCCUGAUGACACCCUGCGAUGUACCGGAACAUCCGGCAUUGGGAGCGUCAGCAACAGGCUCGUCGUUCUGCAGAAUGGAGUAGGGAUUGUCCUGUGUCGUUGGCACGGAACUCUUAAGCAUUUCUGCAAAAGUCCGCUUGGAACGUUCCUUUAAGGAACGCUUGAGUUUUUCCCCUCGUUGUUUGUACACCGGGCAUUGAAUAAGAUCAUGAGGAGUCCCGCCGCAAUGAAGACACUUGUGCUCUUUCGCGCAAGGAUUCUCAUCAUGGCUCUCUCCACAGUCUGCGCAACGUUUUUUAUUGCAACAAUAGGCGGCCGUGUGACCGAGUUGCAUACAUUUGUUGCAUUUCAUUACCCGGGGUACAAACAAUCGAACAGGUAAACGAAGUGCCCCUAUUGCAACGUAAUUUGGAAGGGCGGAACCCUCAAAAGUCACACGAAAAGAGUUUGUCCGAUUGAGAAUUCUUUUGUCAUUUUUAUGUGACACAGAUUUCAGUCGAUCGCAUGCAAGAAUCUUCAUAGUUUUUAGUGUGGAGUGCUUGAAGCGACCGACACCAUCGAUUAUCUCUUUUCGGGUCAAACCCUUUUCGGUUAUUACGCCGUCUAUUUCGACGUUGCAACAGGGUACGUAUACACGAUACUCAAUCGCAAAGAGGUCGCAGCGCGUUAUUUUGUUCGCUUGGGUCCUGCUUGAGACGACAACUCGUAGUUUGUCUGGCCCCAUCCGUGUAAUUUCGGUAACGUCAGAAAAAUGUUGAGUUAGUUCCUUCGAGAUACGAAUGACAUUGAGAGGUUUGGACUUUCGUCUAAAGUACACAAUGAAUGGGCCUUUGGAGCCUUCAGGGUAUUCUUUAGGACGAAAAUCCUGUUUCUCGUCGAUUUCCUCAUCUUCGGAACUAUCAAGGGGUCCUUUCCGCCCUCAGCCAUAUUAGAAAAAUCGGCCAACUGUUCGAUAUGAACAGAAUUAAAAAAAAAAUAUUAUAAGGUUAUGCUGCGGAUAAUAUUUAUAUUAAUUUAUUUUAUUUAUAUAAAAUUCUAAAAUGAAAAAAAAGUUCCAAUAAAAUUUCAACGGUAAUGUAACCAAGAAAAAAUAGACACCCCUAAUGCCAACGUUUGGCGAUUUGGUAAACACACAGAUGAACAAUGGUGUAAAUCGAGCACAGAUGGUAGAAGGAAUGAUAGAAGGACAAAAGAAAAAUAAACUUAUACUUGCCGCUGCUGUGUGGCGUGUGUGAUAAAUCUGUCUGAAUUGUAUCUCGGUCGCGCACCACUUUGAGCUUCGCUCUACUCGCAAGCGCAACCGAUGAAAAAAAAACACAGUCUGAUUCGAUGUGGAAAAAACACCUUUGUUGGAUCGUUUCGAAAACCUAUCCGAUCUACUUGCGAGUUAUCGAACCCUCGAACCCGAACAUAAAACAUAUGAACAACAUAUUUGUGUAACGAAAUGAAGAAGAAAAACUCACAAGAUAUCUCGACAUUUCCUAUUUCAUCACUACUACUUCUUGCGCUGUCGGCGGGUUGAUUUUCAACUUCUCCCAAUUGAGUCCAGUGUUCAGGAUUCCCUGGUAAUGCUAGAAGUGAAAACAGUUUAUUACACGGUUUUUAUUCAAUACGAUACACUCACCAUCAGCAUUGAUUCUUCGACGCCGCUCAACCGAGUAUGAGACAUUUUCGCACUCUUCAUUCCUUUCAUAGCAAGAGGAAUCGAAAUGUUUCGAACAAAUUCCUUGGUUACCUAGAGGUUUCCACUGUUUUUGUUGUCCACAAUAAGCGAUCCAUUUCAAGAGCAGAUCCUCUCUUUUGGGAAAUCUAUGCACGGUAAUACAUUCAGCUUUAUUUUUGUAUCGAGAACGAGUUAUUUCGCAGCCUUAACGGCACAGAAAUUAGCCAUCUGCAAGAAAACGAAAUUAUAUCUUAUUAUAUAUUGCACCAUUUAAAGACAAAAAUACACUUACCUCGAAAUUCCUCACAGGUGAUUCCUCUGCCCAAAUAAACUCUCCUUAUUUCUUGGCACAAUUCAAAUGUUUUGAUAACAAACAAUUGUAAUGUUAUUCGAUGUUAAUUGAUGUUAAAUGAUUUUUAUAAUCCAAAAAUAUUCUCGUUCGUGGAAUGUUCAUCAGAGCCAAACUUGACAGCAAUAUUUUUCCCCCGCUUUGCAGUCAAAUCCCUUUCCACAGUCCUCUGUAUGUUUAUACCGUUUCCCCUAGCGCACUUAUUGACGACACGGUCACACCUUUAUUCUACACAUAUUGGGUGGGAAUAAGAGCAUUGAAAAAUUUAAAGCUCAAGAGAAUAAAUUGACUUUCGGUGUCGGUCGGAGAUGGAGGUAUUUUUCCCGUGUUUUGCAGUUAGAGACGUCGGUUAAUCGUUCGAUAAAUUCAAAUAAUCGAAUAUCUGUAUCAGUAAUUUUAUAUCAAAUAAUGAAAAAUCAAGAAAAUACAGUGCAAAAUUUGUUUAACCGUCAUGGUGUUUCGUCGAAAUUUAUAGAAUAUGCUAAAUCAUUUACGGUAGAAGCUUGAUUCCUAGGUGGUGGAGGAGACUGGGAAGAAGAAUUCAGGGUCUGCAGGAGUAAAAUGCGGACUUGAAGAAGGUGGUCUCAGCUCCCGUUCUAAAAUAGUAGUAUUCAAAUUCAGAGCGCCGAGGAAAAUAUACCAUACUAGUGAUCAAUGAUUCUAUGACCAAGCAGAGAUGUUCAAACAAAUCAGCUAUUUCAACAAACAACAUUCGAAGAACAGAUAAUUUUGAACAGCCAAAAUUUUGGUUGGUGAAAAAAAAAUGCAUGUCGGACUCGACUAAUAUCGACAGAUUCGAUAAUAUGUGAUUCGAUUAUAUACAAUU